UCAAUAAGCGGAGGAAAAGAAACCAACAGGGAUUGCCCCAGUAACGGCGAGUGAAGCGGCAACAGCUCAAAUUUGAAAUCUGGCCCCCCCCGGGGGGCCCGAGUUGUAAUUUGCAGAUUGUGCUUUUGGCGAGGCGCCUUCCGAGUUCCCUGGAACGGGACGCCACAGAGGGUGAGAGCCCCGUCUGGUCGGCCGCCGAGCCUCUGUAAAGCACCUUCGACGAGUCGAGUAGUUUGGGAAUGCUGCUCAAAAUGGGAGGUAUAUGUCUUCUAAAGCUAAAUACCGGCCAGAGACCGAUAGCGCACAAGUAGAGUGAUCGAAAGAUGAAAAGCACCUUGAAAAGGGGGUUAAACAGUACGUGAAAUUGUUGAAAGGGAAGCGCUCGCGACCAGACUUGGGCCCGGCGGAUCACCCAGCGUUCUCGCUGGGGCACUCCGCCUCGUCCCAGGCCAGCAUCGGUUCGCGCCGGGGGACAAAGGCGGCGGGAACGUGGCUCCCCCGGGAGUGUUAUAGCCCGCCGCGCAAUGCCCUGGGGCGGACCGAGGAUUCGCGCAUCUGCAUGGAUGCUGGCGUAAUGGUCACCAGCGACCCGUCUUGAAACACGGACCAAGGAGUCGUCUUCGUAUGCGAGUGUUCGGGUGUCAAACCCCUACGCGUAAUGAAAGUGAACGCAGGUGAGAGCUUCGGCGCAUCAUCGACCGAUCCUGAUGUUCUCGGAUGGAUUUGAGUAGGAGCAUACGGGGCCGGACCCGAAAGAAGGUGAACUAUGCCUGUGUAGGGUGAAGCCAGAGGAAACUCUGGUGGAGGCUCGCAGCGGUUCUGACGUGCAAAUCGAUCGUCAAACAUGGGCAUGGGGGCGAAAGACUAAUCGAACCUUCUAGUAGCUGGUUUCCGCC
rnacentral:rRNA from 1 species